CUUGAACCCGGACGCUCGCAGCGGCUACCUCGGGGCGGGGAGGGCGGCGGGAAAAUCCUUCCUCUGGGAGAGCCUUCCCGGCGCGUGACUGGGGGACGGGAGUCGCAGGCUGAGCAGCUGCCGAGUUUUUUGUGAGGGCGAGGGAACCAGACGUCCACGUUGUGAUUCUGCGCGCAGAAGGGUCAUCGGAGUCCGGGGGUGUCGCCGCGGCCCCCCCGCCCCUCAGAGGGUGUGGGAAUGGGUGUGGUGGCAGGGCGGGGGUCUGCACCGCCACGCGCGACCCCGAUCGCGAAAACGUGAGGCGGCAAAGCGCCUCUGGCAGAAGCCGCCCGCCGUAGCUGGGAAAGCCGGAGGUUGCAAAUCUGCGUCUACGCGGCGGCUUCUCCACCUCGGCACCACUGGCAUUUGGGCGGGAUCGCUCUGUCUUCGGGGCGGGUCCCCCGAUCUGUCGGAAGUUGAGCGGCAUCUCUGGCCUCCGAAGCGCCCCCUCCCCCAAUCUGCAGUCAUUGCCGCCGUCCCUUGUGGGGGCACAGUCCCCCCGCCCCCCCACCGGCAGAGAACCCCGUGAUUGAAAGACCCUUCUACCCGCCUCUGCCUUGAGAUUCUGUAAAACUGAGAUGCUCAUUCUCUUAACCAAACACGUCACAGAGGAGGAAACGGAGGCCCAAGGUCACCUAGACUUCGGGGUUAAGCCCAGAACCGCAGAUGUCAAGUUUAAGGGCGCCCCUCCUCCCUCCACCCUGUUUAUUGCCUUGGAAGACCUAGAUUUAAAACAGGAGGAAGACAGCUGAUGAGAACCACAUGUGUGCCUUGGAGCUGCCCGACACCUGUUAGUCUUGUAUUUGUUGUGCUUCUGGGAAAUAUUUUCAUUUGCAAAAACGGCUGCUUCUGCACGUGGCUAUGGUUGCGUGCUUCUGCACAUGUGAAAAGUUUUACAUCACACUUGGAGGAGAAAAGAAACACGGGCAAAACACUUGUCAUUUACUGCUCCCAACCUCGCCCCUCCCAGAAUGCGGUGCAUUGUGUACAUGGUGUACAUGGUCCAAGUUGGAAACUGGCCCAUUCGGAGAUAAUUCUCUCAUUUCUGAUAAGCAAAAUAAGCAAAGCCUUCCUCAGGCAUAUUCUGGUCUUGCCUCUCUCUUAAUUUCUAACUCGGAUGUACAGUAUCUUUUUUUUUUUUUAAUAAAGUAUUACAUAGGAGGCAAUUUAUUUUGCAUGGGUCAGGUUAUUUUAAGAAACAUUUGGGCCGGACGUGGUGGCUCAAGCCUGUAAUCCCAGCACUUCAGCAGGCGGAGGUGGGCGAUCACUUGAGCUCAGGAGUUCGAGACUAGCCUGGCCAACAUGGUGAAACCCCAUCUCUACUAAAAAUACAAAAAUUAGCCGGGCAUGCUGGCGCGCACUUGUAAUCCUGGCUACUAGAGGGGGCUGAGGCAGAAGAAUUGCUUGAACCCGGGAGGCGGAGGUUGCAGUGAGCCAAGAUCACACCACUGCACUCCAGCCUGGGCAACAGACUCUGUCUCAAACAAAAUGUGGGGCCAGCCACGGUGGCUCAUGCCUGGUAGCUCAUGCCUGUAAUCCCAGCACUUUGGGAAGCCGAGGUGGGCAGAUCACUUGCGGUCAGGAGUUCGAGACCUGCGUGGCCAAAAUAGUGAAACCCCUUCUCUACUGAAAAAACAAAAAUUAGCCGGGCAUGGUGGCACACACCUGUAAUCCCAGCUACUCAGAAGGCUGAGGCACGAGAAUUGUUUGAACCCAGAAGGCAGAGGCUGCAGUGAGCUGAGAUCACGCCACUGUACUCCAACCUGGGUGACAGAGCAAGACUGUCUUGAAAAAUAAACAAACAUCUGGAAAGUACUCAACUUACCCACUUUUUAAAAACUAAGAAGCACUGACAUGACUUGGUUCCUCAAGGGCACUGGCUCUUUUUGGUAUCCCCAGUAGAUAGAAAAAUAGUAUCUGUGGAGUAAGUCAAUGAAAAGUUUCAUCAAAUACACGGUAGCGUUACACACACCCCCAGACAUAUGAAUGCAUUUCAGUUUCUACAGAUCUGGUACACCAUGGGUCUGGAGAGCUAUUUCUGGAAUGAAUGAAAUACUUCAUAAAAUAUAAUACUAUAUACACCAGGAUACACAACACACACACGGAUAUUUAGUUUUAUUCCACAUUUAAUGUACGUAAAAGGGUGUU
rnacentral:lncRNA from 1 species